rnacentral:misc_RNA from 1 species
UCCAUCUCUAAUGCGAUUAGAAGUUUGUACUUGUGUUGGCCGGCCUUUUAUAAGUUCUACACAAAAAAUUUUCCACGUCAGCCCUAGUCUGAAUUCUGAAAUUCCAUUCCCGCUCCCUCUUUUCAUACCCAAAACCUAUCUCCCGCCAUUUGCAAUUCUCCCAUGCCCUUUACCUUCAGUUUUCUCCUUCUUCAAUUCCCAUAUAACAAUUUCCAUUUCAGUUUGCUCCAAAAUCUAAUUCCUUUGUUAUUCCUUUUCUUCUGUUUUCUGCUCUUCUUCAAGUUCCUGAGAUUGCCUUUGCCUUUCCCUAGCUAGGACAUUUUUUAAUUCCCUCAAACACCUUUUACUUGUUUCUUUUUUUUCCUGGAUUCUGUUUCUCCUUUAGAUGAAACUUCUCCAAUCUAGGGUUUCAAUUUGAUUUUUCUUCAGAAUGAGUGCUGUCAAUAUCACCAACGUUACUGUACUGGAUAAUCCAGCGCCGUUUUUGUCCCCCUUUCAAUUCGAGAUCUCUUAUGAGUGCUUGACUCCUCUUAAAGAUGAUUUGGAGUGGAAACUGAUUUAUGUGGGGUCAGCUGAGGAUGAGAUGUAUGAUCAACUUUUGGAGAGUGUACUUGUUGGGCCUGUUAACGUUGGAAACUAUCGUUUUGUUUUGCAGGCAGACCCACCAGAUCCCUCAAAGAUUCGUGAAGAAGAUAUCAUUGGUGUGACAGUGCUUUUGUUGACCUGCUCCUAUCUGGGUCAAGAAUUUGUUAGAGUUGGCUACUAUGUUAACAAUGAUUAUGAAGAUGAGCAGCUGAGAGAGGAACCUCCCCCGAAAGUUUUAAUUGAUAAGAUUCAAAGAAACAUUCUGUCUGACAAGCCAAGGGUCACGAAGUUCCCCAUCAAUUUUUAUCCUGAGAACACUGAAGGUGCUGAGGAGCCUCCUUCACAUGAUCAACCCGCUGAAACUGAUGGAAAUGAAGAACAGUUACCUCCUACUCAGGACCAUUUUUCAGAUAAAGAGGGACCUUGAAUCUAAUGACCAUUUUACCAACUGGUGGCAUUGCAAGUUUCCCUUUCAAGUUCAUAUCUUGUUAAAUCAACACAAGUGAUGCCUUUGCCAGAUAUUUUGAUAAAUGGCAUCUGGGGAGCUACUUAUUCAACUUUACAAAAUGUUUGGAGGAAGUGGUGGUGGUGGAUAGCCUGGGCUCUAACGUGCUACUUUUAUUUUUUCUCUUUUAAGCUCUAUCACAUUACGUUCUAAUUGGAUUGUGUGAUCAUAUGAAAAGAUACAUUUCAAAUUCAUUAUCUUGGUAUCUUGAUUUCUUAAUUUCUUUUAGUACAGGCUAAAACCAUCUAUUUAGAAAGCUUAAGCUAAUUCUCGUAAGAGAGAGUUUUGCUCACAAGGAUCAAACAGCAUUAUAGAGUUAUAUUUUUAUGGAUGCUGGAUCUGUUGCGUCAAAAAUGAUCUCCGCGAUGCGGAAAGCAUAAUAUUAUCUUGAGAAUUGAUAAUAUGAGUGUUAU